rnacentral:lncRNA from 1 species
AGCGUGUAUUGGGCGUACGAAAAGCGUACCUAAGCGUUUAUCGGGCGUUCAAGAAACGUAUGUUGGCGUAUGCCUGGCGUUUGUCUAACGUAGAUGGAAUGCACGCUACGAAGAAAAAAAAGUCUCUUGAACGUAUUUGAGACGCGUCCCGGUCGUGUCUUGGAUGUUCUAUUAUGGGGUGUUUGUUACAAACACACCCGC